AGGAAGACUGAGACAUAACUCUGUAGAUUCAAGAUUAGACCUCCCCCUGCCAUACCCAAAUAGAUACUCUAUUCAAACUAUUGGGAAUAUAACUGAUUGUUUCCCAACUGGGACAAGAUAAUGAAAUCACUUGUUGUUCAAUAAGAAUAGCAUAUAAUUUGUCCGGAACUAACCUUCUGAAAUACACCAUUCCGAUGGAACAUGUAUGCUUUUGGUUCUUCAAAUAAUAUUUUUAGGCCCUAAAUGUUAAUUAAAAGAGAAAGUCUCAAACCUUCUUGGGAGCAGGUAUCUGAGGGUGGUCUUGGGUCUGCAGAGCAUCCAGCUCUGAUGAUGACCCUUGCCCUUUGCAUCUGGGCCCAGUACUUCCAUCUCUCCUUUUCUCUCUGGCUCCCACUCACAGGCAGUCCUCGGAUGCUGUAUUAGGGAACACAAGAAUUUAAGGGGGACAGGAGGCAGCCUACGUUCUGAGCCCAGCCUUUCUUUUGUCCCUUGAUCAUUUCAGUCUUUUUGCAUAUCCCCAUGAGCAGGACAAAGGAAAGGACCAAGACUUCAAACUGGACUUGAACUCCUGAGAAAGCUACAUCUCUAACAAAAACAUUUGGAUUUCUUUUGUGUAUUUUGGAGAGGGCCAUGAUACUUUCAUGCAACAAGCCACAAAAUGGAAACAUACGGUAUGAGGAUCUUGCUAUCCUAGCAGAUACGCAGAUACCCCUCUUGCUUUUAAAGAAAUAAAAGGAAACAAUACCUUUCAUACUAAAAAUGAGAACAAAAAAACAACCUAGCUAGGAAAAAAAUUAAAACUCCAUAGUAGCUCCUAGAGAGACAUUUAUUCACACAUUUAUUUUUAAAGAAGAAAAGAAUAAGUAUGUAUAGUGAGUGGCCUCCAGAAGCAGCUGUUUAACUUUCUCCCUGUUUCCCUGCAUCUGCAAGCAUAACCUUGUUGUAUUCAACAUCUGCUCUGCAGUUUCUCUUGAGAGCUGUAAUAGGAUACUGGGUCUUCUUGUCAUUCUGUAAGAUGAGUUAUUUUGAGGGAAGAAUACUUAGGGAAUUCCAUAUAAAAUACUGGUCUUGCAAUACCCAUAUAGCUUUUUAUUUUUAGUUUACAGAGUUUAAAGAUCAUACGUAGUUUUCAUUAAUCCCAUUUUGCAGAGAGAAAACUGAGGGAUAGAAAGUUCUGUCAACUGAUCACAUGGUAGAUAAGGACAGGACUCCUCCUUUUUGAUCAAGGGCCUUUUAUAAACGUUCUGCUAUAUUGUUUUGAUAUUUCCAGUUAUUUUCUGAGAGUUUGCCACAAACAGUGACGUGAGAAGGAGAAACUUUUAAAAUGAUUUUUGUUCUGAAGGAGUCCAUAGGCCUGCCAACCCAGCAAAAUGUGUUACUUAUAGGCGUAAAAGCAAUCCUACCUUUUAACUACACACUAAGGACCACCCAGCUGCUUGGCCAGAGAAGUAGGAUCUUGGGAGGUGUUUGGGUAGAUGUUAUUUUAAGUGCCAUAGAACCUUAGACUAUUACAGCUGGAAGUGAAGAUCUUCCAACUCAACUCUUUCAUUGCGCAAAUGCAACCGCAACCACAGAGGUACAAUGAAUCCCCCAGACCCCCUGCUAAGCACUACACAAAGCCCAGUCAUGGGGUUCCUCCUGAUGCUUCCUCAGGCAUUUUCUCCUGCAUUAAAAAAACACUGAUAAAUGUGCCAACCAGGAAAUGCGUGUCAGCCAAGUUUUCUGAUUUUCCUGAUUUACAUGAUAUCUGCAAAGGAUUUUUAGUUAUCCACUAAGCAGCUCCCUAAUUGACAUAAUACCAGUCUUCCUUCUUUUCUUCUGCUUUUUGCUCUUAUUCUUUAAAAUGUAUCAAAUUAUUGUUAAUAACACAUUUUAAAAAUAUCUGCUGAGAAUCACAAUGACACUGCAUUUGUGUAGUUAUAAGGUAGACUCUUGGAUUUAGGGAUACAUUCCUGUUAGCCCAGCACAUAUACACCCGAGGGCUCAUGGUUUUUGACCCACACCAUAUUUCAUGGCAUGUAGUUCAGUUGCCCCGGCUGGGUUCUCCUAUCACAAAUUGCAAGACUCUCAUACAGGGCAGACUCAGUGAGCUUACCUGUCUUACCUGGCAUGACAGGUGAAAAGAGAUGCUUACAACACCCUGGGCCUAGAACAGUGUCUGAUACUUGUAGCCCAAUAGAGUACAUAUUUGUGAAUGAAUAAAUGCACAUUGAAACUCUGCCUUUGCAAGGAAUUUGAGUCAACAGCAUCUUAGCCUCCUUGACUAAGCCACUAGUAUUUUGCUUCCUUCACAACUGACAGCUUUACUGGAGUCUCCCGGAUUCUUCAAGCAUGUCAAGGAAUAUUUUAGUCGCUUGGAUACUAGCACACUGUUAGGAUAGUGGGUCCAGAUCACUGAUUCCAUAAUGAUUCUGAGAGAUUCAAAGCCAUUUCUCCCCAUCAGCGUGUGAGCCUAUCACUAAAUAAACUUCCUGGAGUCAAGACAGUGGCGGCACCCACACACCUUGCUUCUCUUCUUGUAACCAUGGCAACACACUUGCUCUCUUGCCCGCCCCACUCUGCUCUCCAUCACCACAGAGCUGCUGGCUUAAUAAAGCCUGACAAACUUAAACAAUGGGGAUUUCUGGCCUUAAGGCCAAGAUCUUUAUUAAUUCAUAGCAGCCGUAACCAUUGAGCUGGCCUUGCUUGGCAUUCAGGAACAAAUUCCCCACCAUGAUUGAUUCCUACCACCUAGUAUCAGCUCAGCCCUUCCCUUUCCAAAAAUCAAUCAGUCAAUCAAUUGAUUCAUCUAUUAGGGGAAAAGAUUAAACUAUUUAGGUACUGAAUAAAAUUUGCUAUUUUGUCUCUCUAGACCAGGAUUUCUCGAUCUCACUGAGUCCAAGAAUGAGCAUGGGAGAGUCAUGCCAAGGAUGCUUGGCUUCCAGUCAGAGCACAGUAUAUAUUUGCUUCUGUCUGGUAGCCUCUUGCCCUUGACUUCACUGCAUAGUCCCCUCCCAUAGGUUCACUGAACUGCUAUACCUCUGCAGAAACCACCCUUGUAAGACAUCUGGAUGAGAGCUGAGUCAAGGCCUGGAGGCUGUCUGCAUUAAACUGGGCUCUCACCAUAGAUGGCUAAAGGCGGACACAGCUGGAGAGGCUCCUGCAAAUUGUGGCUGAGGUGGCAGCGGUUCUGGCGGCAACUUUGCCAUCUCUAAGCCUCCCAGCCCAGAACCAAAAGAUAAUGGCAUGCCUUGGAGCAGAAGCAGCUGAUCUCAUUACCCUUCUGGUGCAAACAGGGCAAAACCAUUCAAUAUCUCCUAUUUCUUACCAUAUAAACCCCAAGACCCCAUGACCUGGCUCCUCGCGUGCCUACCUCUCCCCAGCAUCUCUUAUCACUGUGUGAUUGUAAUCUUCUCCCUCUGCUAUGAAGAGUUGUAUAUUGUUUUCUCUCUUUUUCUCUUUUUAUGUGCCUGGACCUUGUUCUUACAGUUCUAUUGACCUGGAAUGCUCUUUCUUCUUUCCUUCCUUUUCAUCCUUCAAAACACACCCUAAAUGUCCAACAAGAAGACAGUGGAUACAUGAAUUACUGUGGUUUGCCAUCCAUUUCUCCCUGUCAGGGCCAAGGCACUCACCCACCAGCUGUCAGGAGUGUUGACCACUGACUGUUCACAGCUGAGGCCCUCUGCUCUUAGAGCCUUGGGUUGAAGGAAGCUGCUUUGCCCAGGGUUAUAUGAACCCACAUCCAGUGGCCAGUUCGUGCAAGGGUACAGAGGCUUGCACAGCUCCAAAGGGCCACCCCAGCUGAGAACUACCCCCUGGAAUGGCCUGAAGCCUCCAUUUCAACUGCACCACAUCCUAAGCUCUCCCUCUGCCCAACCCUGCCUGUCUUGCUUCCUUACAGGCAGCAAUCAAAGCGUCCUCCCCAGCAUGUAAACCUCUAUUUCAGAGUAUGUUUCCCAGGUAACCUAAAGACAAGGCAAAUCUAGGAAAAAAUAAUAUGUAAUCAUUAAAAUUUUUAAUUUAUGUGUUAAGAAUAUUUCAUGA
rnacentral:lncRNA from 1 species